rnacentral:rRNA from 1 species
UACGUAGGUGGCAAGCGUUGUCCGGAUUUACUGGGCGUAAAGGGCGCGUAGGCGGCCUGUUAAGUCGAACGUGAAAUCCCCGGGCUCAACCCGGGAACUGCGUCCGAUACUGGCAGGCUUGAAUCCGGGAGAGGGAUGCGGAAUUCCAGGUGUAGCGGUGAAAUGCGUAGAUAUCUGGAGGAACACCGGUGGCGAAGGCGGCAUCCUGGACCGACACUGACGCUGAGGAGCGAAAGCCAGGGGAGCAAACGGG